rnacentral:rRNA from 1 species
GACGAACGCUGGCGGCGUGCUUAACACAUGCAAGUCGAACGAAGAGCGAUGGAAGCUUUCUUCUAUCAAUCUUAGUGGCGCACGGGUGAGUAACGCGUAAUCAACCUGCCCUUCAGAGGGGGACAACAGUUGGAAACGACUGCUAAUACCGCAUACGAUCUAAUCUCGGCAUCGAGGAGAGAUGAAAGGUGGCCUCUAUUUAUAAGCUAUCACUGAAGUAGGGGAUUGCGUCUGAUUAGCUAGUUGGAGGGGUAACGUCCCACCCAGGCGAUGAUCAGUAGCCGGUCUGAGAGGAUGAACGGCCAAAUUGGGACUGAGACACGGCCCAGACUCCUACGGGAGGCAGCAGUGGGGAAUCUUCCGCAAUAGACGAAAGUCUGACGGAGCAACGCCGCGUGAGUGAUGAAGGCCUUCGGGUUGUAAAGCUCUGUUAAUCGGGACGAAAGGCCUUCUUGCGAACAGUUAGAAGGAUUGACGGUACCGGAAUAGAAAGCAACGGCUAACUACGUG